UACGGGGGGGGGUAAGCGUUGUUCGGAAUUACUGGGCGUAAAGGGCUCGUAGGCGGCCAACUAAGUCAGACGUGAAAUCCCUCAGCUUAAGCUGGGGAACUGCGUCUGAUACUGGAUGGCUUGGAUUCGGGAGAGGAAUGCGGAAUUCCAGGUGUAGCGGUGAAAUGCGUAGAUAUCUGGAGGAACACCGGUGGCGAAGGCGGCAUUCUGGACCGAUAUUGACGCUGAGGAGCGAAAGCAUGGGGAGCGAACAGG
rnacentral:rRNA from 1 species